rnacentral:lncRNA from 1 species
CGUCCCCUUCUUCUUCUUCUUCUUCUUCUUCUUCUUCUUCUUCUUCUUCUUCUUCUUCUUCUGCGACUCGAGUUUGCUGGUCUGCCCCUUCGUCAUGGCGAAGGAGACAGAUCCGCAGAGGGGGAGAGGAAGGAGGAGGCUUGGGGAGCGCAGGGAGCUGCGGGAGGAGCGAGGUUAAUGCGAGGAAGAUGAGCAGUGCAACAAGAAAUCCCCGCCGGAGGGGCUUAAAUAAGCUUCCGACUGAGUCACUAACAGGUGGACCCGAAAUCUUAUCUCCCCGACCGGCUGCUGCGAUGUUA